rnacentral:rRNA from 1 species
UAUGGAAGGCAGCAGUGGGGAAUAUUGCACAAUGGGCGCAAGCCUGAUGCAGCCAUGCCGCGUGUAUGAAGAAGGCCUUCGGGUUGUAAAGUACUUUCAGUCGUGAGGAAGGUGUUAAGGUUAAUAACCUUAGCAAUUGACGUUAGCGACAGAAGAAGCACCGGCUAACUCCGUGCCAGCAGCCGCGGUAAUACGGAGGGUGCGAGCGUUAAUCGGAAUUACUGGGCGUAAAGGGCACGCAGGCGGUUAAUUAAGUUGGAUGUGAAUCCCCGGGCUUAACCUGGGAAUGGCAUUCAAGACUGGUUAGCUAGAGUCUUGGUAGAGGGGGUUAGAAUUCCAUGUGUAGCGGUGAAAUGCGUAGAGAUGUGGAGGAAUACCGGUGGCGAAGGCGGCCCCUGGGACAAGACUGACGCUCAUGUGCGAAAGCGUGGGGAGCAAACAGGGAUUAGAUACC